rnacentral:rRNA from 1 species
UACGGAGGGUGCAAGCGUUAUCCGGAUUCACUUGGUUUAAAGGGUGCGUAGGUGGGCUAGUAAGUCCGUGGUGAAAUCCCCGAGCUUAACUCGGGAACUGCCGUGGAUACUAUUAGUCUUGAAUAUCGUGGAGGUAAGCGGAAUAUGUCAUGUAGCGGUGAAAUGCUUAGAUAUGACAUAGAACACCGAUAGCGGAGGCAGCUUACUACGCGAUUAUUGACACUGAGGCACGAAAGCGUGGGGAUCAAACAGG